rnacentral:rRNA from 1 species
UACCAUGCAAGUCGAACGGAAAGGCCCAGCUUGCUGGGUACUCGAGUGGCGAACGGGUGAGUAACACGUGGGUGAUCUGCCCUGCACUCUGGGAUAAGCCUGGGAAACUGGGUCUAAUACCGGAUAUGACCAUGGGAUGCAUGUUCUGUGGUGGAAAGCUUUUGCGGUGUGGGAUGGGCCCGCGGCCUAUCAGCUUGUUGGUGGGGUAAUGGCCUACCAAGGCGACGACGGGUAGCCGACCUGAGAGGGUGAUCGGCCACACUGGGACUGAAACACGGCCCAGACUCCUACGGGAGGCAGCAGUGGGGAAUAUUGCACAAUGGGCGCAAGCCUGAUGCAACGACGCCGCGUGAGGGAUGACGGCCUUCGGGUUGUAAACCUCUUUCACCAGGGACGAAACGUGAGUGACGGUACCUGGAGAAUAAGCACCGGCCAACUACGUGCCAGCAGCCGCGGUAAUACGUAGGGUGCGAGCGUUGUCCGGAAUUACUGGGCGUAAAGAGCUCGUAGGCGGUUUGUCGCGUCGUCUGUGAAAUUCUGCAACUCAAUUGUAGGCGUGCAGGCGAUACGGGCAGACUUGAGUACUACAGGGGAGACUGGAAUUCCUGGUGUAGCGGUGAAAUGCGCACAUAUCAUGAGGAACACCGGUGGCGAAGGCGGGACUCUGGGUAGUA